UCCUCUGUAGUUCAGUCGUGUAGAACGACGGACUGUUAAUCCGUAUGUCACUGGUUCGAGUCCAGUCAGAGGAG
rnacentral:tRNA from 1 species